rnacentral:rRNA from 1 species
UACGGGGGGGCAAGCGUUGUUCGGAAUUCCUGGGCGUAAAGGGCUCUUCGGCGGCCCACUAAGUCAGACGUGCAAUCCCUCGGCUUAACCGGGGAACUGCGUCUGAUACUGGAUGGCUUGAGUUUGGGAGAGGGAUGCGGAAUUCCAGGUGUAGCGGUGAAAUGCGUAGAUAUCUGGAGGAACACCGGUGGCGAAGGCGGCAUCCUGGACCAACACUGACGCUGAGUGAGCGAAAGCCAGGGGAGCAAACGGG